rnacentral:rRNA from 1 species
GGAGGAAAAGAAACCAACAGGGAUUCCCUCAGUAGCGGCGAGCGAACAGGGAAGAGUCCAGCGCCGAAUCCCGCGCCCUCACCGGGUGUCUGGGAAAUGUGGCGUUUGGGAGUGAUGCGUUCCGGCGAGUACGACUCUGCAGCAAGUCCCCCUGACCGGGGCUCUUUUCCCAGAGUGGGUGCGAGGCCCAUAGCUGCUAGGUCUCUCCCGGAUGCGAUCUCCUUGGAGUCGGGUUGCUUGGGAAUGCAGCCUUAAUCGGGUGGUAAACUCCACCUAAGACUAAAUACGGCCGUGAGACCGAUAGCAAACAAGUACCGUGAGGGAAAGUUGCAAAGAACUUUGAAGAGAGAGUUCAAGAGUACGUGAAACUGUUCAGAGGUAAACGGAUGGGCCCUCGAAAUCCUGUGGCGCGGAGCAUUCAGUCGGGAGCGGCGGGGGAGCGGUUGCCAAAUCACAUACGUAGCGGAUCCCGACCACGGGCCGUUUGGUACGCACGCCUCCGUUCUGCACCCGACGCAUUUGUCUCCCGCCCUAAGGACGCCGCAACCGGUUGGGGGACGGACUUAAAGGCUGGCGCGGGAGGUCGCCGGCGGUUCCUCGAGUCUUUCCCGCCUACGGGGGACUAUGUGGGUUCCAGCCGGAUGUUGACCGCGUCGCACCUGUCUCGUAACCCGACCGUGGUGUCGCGAGGCCCUCUAAAGUGGGCCUCUCCGCCUCCUCCCUCUGCUGGGAAGCCGGGCGUUGGCGACGGGAGUCUGUCUCCACGCGGGCACACGGGACUACUCCGUGGCCCAAGCGUUCGUUGACGGCUCCGUCGGUUGCCUUACCUUAUUGAAGACCCGUGGGAGUGCCGGCGGUUGGCGGCGAGUAGAUCGGUCACCCAUCCGACCCGUCUUGAAACACGGACCAAGGAGUGUAACAUGUGUGCGAGUCAAUGGGACUCGAAUAAGCCCAGAGGCGCAAUGAAAGCAAAGGCUCGCGGACGUGUCCGCUUGCCGUGUCGAGAUCCGGGGCCCUUGUCGGCCCCUGGCGCAUCGACGACCCGCCCGCGUGCGGCCCCCGUGGUCGCUAGGACGGAGUCUGAGCACACACGUUGCGACCCGAAAGAUGGUGAACUAUGCCCGGCCAGGACGAGGCCAGAGGAAACUCUGGUGGAGGUCCGCAGCGGUUCUGACGUGCAAAUCGAUCGUCAGAGCCGGGUCUAGGGGCGAAAGACUAAUCGAACCAUCUAGUAGCUGGUUCCCUCCGAAGUUUCCCUCAGGAUAGCUGGCGCUCGUUGGAAAUCAGUCGCACCCGGUAGAGCGAAUGAUUAGAGGCCUUGGGGCCGAAACGACCUCAACCUAUUCUCAAACUCAAAAUGGGUGUGCGGUCCGCCAUUCAUGACCGAUGGCGUCGACCGAUGACGGAUGAGAGUGCCCAGUGGGCCACUUUUGGUAAGCAGAACUGGCGCUGUGGGAUGAACCAAACGUCGGGUUAAGGCGUCAGAUGCGAGACGCUCAUGAGAUCCCAUGAAAGGUGUUGGUUGCUCUAGACAGCAGGACGGUGGCCAUGGAAGUUGGAACCCGCUAAGGAGUGUGUAACAACUCACCUGCCGAAGCAACUAGCCCUGAAAAUGGAUGACGCUCCAGCGUCGAGCCUACACCCGACCGCCGCGGCAAAACUCGUUUGAAACACGGGAGURUUACGCCGCGGUGAGUAGGAGGGUCGCGACGGCGAGCGUUGAAGGUGCCGGGCGUGAGCCCGCCUGGAGCCGCCGUCGGUGCAGAUCUUGGUGGUAGUAGCAAAUACUCAAGUGAGAACCUUGAGGACUGAAGCUGGAGAAGGGUUCCAUGUGAACAGCAGUUGAACAUGGGUCAGUCGGCCCUAAGGAAUCGGUGAAAACCGUUCCGAGGCGGGACGUUAGAUGACUGUGUCAGAAACACUGAGUUAAUGUGUUUGUCCCGCUGCUGACCGAAAGGGAAUGGGGUCAAUAUUCCCCAACCCGGACACGGAGAUAGAGCCCUCGGGCUCAAGUGCGGUAACGCAACCGAACUCGGAGACGUCGACGGAAGACCCGGGGAAGAGUUGUCUUUUCUUUGUAAGAGUUCGUGUCCCUGGAAUCGGCUCGUCCGGAGAUAGGGACGCUGUUCUCGUAAAAGCUCCGCGGCUCUUGCGGAGUCCGGUCCGCUUCUGUCGGCCCUUGCAAAUCCGAGGGAGAGAGUGUGAUUUUCGUGCCGGUCCGUACCCAUAUCCGCAGCAGGUCUCCAAGGUGAACAGCCUCUAGUCGAUA